AGAUCAGUUGAGCCCAGGAGAUGGAGGCUGCAGUGAGCCAAGAUCACACCACUGCACUCCAUCCUGGGCAACAGAG
rnacentral:snRNA from 1 species